UUUAAUUUUUUAAAUUGUUGUUGUAUAUAUUCUGAUUUCUGAGUUAAUUACAUGGAUUGAGUUAAUUGUAUGGACAUUGAACUCUGAAUUAAUUUUAUGGAUAUUGGAAUUUAAGAUUCUCUUCUCAGGUCUUUAUCAUUUUAAGUUGGUUAAUUGGAUUUCUUAGCCCCUUUUGAGUUUUGAACCUCUUGACUACUUAACAAUUUAGCAAUUUGAUCUUUGUUUAUUUAAUUUUUUCAGUGAUUUCUUGAAAUUGUAAGAUUGAUUUUUUUUCUGAGUUGUUGAUUCUGGGUUAUGGUACAAUGUUUCGAUCAUUGUUUAUGCUGUUGUUAUAGUUUUAUUAUUAUUUUUAUGAAAUUGGAAUACCUAUUGUGGUAUUAUAUGUAUUUUGAUUUUUGUUAGCUAUGAAUGUUGAUUUUUAAAAUUAUUUUUGAAUUUUUAAUGAAUAAUUUAUUAUAUAAAAUUAUAAAAUUUUGAAUUUUAUCUAUUUAAAAAGUAUUAAAUUUAAAUAUUUAAAAGUAUAUAUUAAAUUUUUAAUAAUUUAAUUUUAUAUUUAGUUAAAUCGGUUAAAUUCCGAUUGAAUUCCGGUUAAAUUUCUAAAUCAUUGAACCAGUUAUUUCACUAGAUCAUUGACCGGUCCGGUUCUUGCAACCUCAAGGAACACUUGCUGGUAGGAGUAGUUAAGAGUCGCAAGUUUGAAACAUUAACGCGAGACUGUUAGGUAGUUCCACUGUUGAAAAUGAAUCGUAUAUAAACAUAAUCAAGCUUGCCUCGUGAUCUGCGAUUCGUUAUUCUGUUGCAGAAGCAGAUAUGCAUAUUUCACAUUCUUAAUGUGUUUUCGACAUGAAGGAAAAGACGAAAACUACUUCUACUCUCAACCGCAUUUUAGUGAAUUGUACAUCUCAGGCAAAAGCAUAUGGGAGCUGUGUUGCAUCCAAGGUUCCAGAGAUUGAACGUGAUGUCUGUGCAAAGGAGUUUCUGGCAUUAAAAAGUUGUAUGCAGAAUACGUUGAAAAAGAAGGUUUAAGCUCGCACUAAAUAGCUUAGUGUUUAUGAAGAGAAGCAUUUAGAGAAUAAUUUUGCUGCCAUCAGUCUAAGAGGAAGGUCCAAUAGUUGGACAUAGCACAGUGAAAGAGGACUCAGCAACAUGGCUGGAAAAGCAUCAACAUCAAAACCUAAUAUAGGUCUCAGCGGCACUGGUGGCCUUUCACAUGCUUACAUUCAGUAUCCACCAUUUCGGUGCAAUGUUCCUGGAUCAAAGGGAUUGUUUUAUGAUGAUGGAAACAAAUUGCUACUCUCUCCAACAGCUGAUCAAGUGUUUUCAUGGAAAGUUGUUCCCUUUGAUCCUCUUAUUGAUCCCACCACUGAUUUAAUAAGUGAGGGGCCUAUUUUAGCUAUUCGAUACUCUUUAAACACAAAGGUUAUCGCGAUCCAACGAUCGAACCAUGAGAUACAAUUUCAGAUUAGAGAGACAAGGGAAACUUUUAGCCAUAAGUGCAGGCCAGAAUCAGAAAGCAUACUUGGUUUUUUUUGGACUGAUAGCCAACAAUGUGAUAUUGUAAUUGUUAAGACCAGUGGUCUAGACUUGUAUGCAUAUAAUUCAGCCUCUAAAUCACUUCAAUUGGUCGAAACAAAGAAAAUCAAUGUGAGUUGGUACGUUUACACACAUGAAAGUCGGUUGGUUCUUCUUGCUUCUGGAAUGCAGUGCAAGACAUUCCAUGGAUUUCAGAUUUCAUCUGCAGAUAUUGUUCGCUUGCCAAGGUUUGACAUGGUUAUGGCCAAAUCUGAGGCCAAUAGUAAGCCUGUUUUAGCAGCUGAAGACAUCUUUAUUAUCACUGUUUAUGGUAGGAUAUAUUGCUUGCAAGUUGAUAGAGUUGCUAUGCUACUCCAUUCAUAUAGGCUAUAUCGUGAUGCUGUGAUUCAGCAGGGUUCUCUACCAAUAUAUUCCAGCAGGGUUGCUGUGAGUGUGGUUGACAAUGUACUUCUUAUCCAUCAAAUUGAAGCAAAGGUUGUCAUACUUUAUGAUCUCUUUGCAGAUUCUCGAGCUCCAAUAUCUGCACCCCUUCCUUUAUUGCUAAGAGGUUUUCCUAGGUCCAGUACUACUACGUCUCAAUCUAGUGGUAGAGAAAGUCACAGUUCAUACAGUAACGUGAGUAAUCAUGAAGCAGUUACCUAUGCCGAUUCAUGGACUUUUCUAGUGCCUGACCUUGUAUGUGAUGUGACCAACAAGUUAUUAUGGAAGUUUCAUUUAGACUUAGAGGCAAUUUCUGCCAGUAUCUCAGAGGCCCCAUCAAUAUUAGAGUUCCUGCAGCGGAGGAAGUUGGAAGCUAACAAGGCAAAACAAUUGUGCUUAGGUAUAAUUCGAACACUUAUUCUGGAGCAUAGGCCUGUACCUGUAGUUGCCAAAGCUAUACACGUAGUGGUUACCUCAUACUCUCAUUCAAUUAAGACCGGUAGCUAUCUUAAGGGCCUGAAGCCAGAGAAGCCAUCGGCAUCUAGUGUACAAAAUGCUGGUGCUGAUGUAUCUGCUGUAGGAACAAAUGCAAUUGGAAAAUCAAUUGCACAUGAAUCCGAUGCAAGGGUGGACAGAGGAUCUUCUAGUAAAGCUUUAAGUCUGGAUUCUGAGGAUGAGUCCCGUACUGCAAAUCCAAAACGCAAUUCAAAGGAGAACCAAGUUGGGGAUGAAGUGAAUGAUGAGAACUCCUCUGGAACUGAAGUUCAUAAUGCUCAUGUUACGCAAUCAUCUCUGCAGCUUGGGCAAGAGGAAUCCCAACUCGCCUCCGCAGCAAUUUCACCAGAUGAGAUGUACAGCUUUGUCUUUUCUCCCAUUGAUGAAGAGAUGGUUGGAGACCCUUCUUACUUGGUUGCCAUCAUUAUUGAAUUCCUUCACAGUACAAAUGUGGAAAAGAUUCGAGCACUCCCAAAUCUGUAUGUAUUGAUAAUUCAAUUGCUGGUCCGCAAUGAACGAUAUGCAGAACUUGGGUUGUUUGUCAUAAACAAGACUCUCUUUGUAACAGAUUUUGGAGCCCUCUAAGGAAGUUGCACUACAGCUCCUAGAGUCUGGUCGUCAGAAUACGCAAACUAGGAAGCUUGGACUGGACAUGCUGAGACAGCUUGGUUUACAUCAUGAUUAUGUGAUGCUGCUACUGCAAGAUGGAUACCACAUGCAAGCAUUACGAUAUGCACGGAAAUUCAAGGUGGAUAGCAUCCGGCCGGCAUUGUUCUUGGAAGCAGCAUUUGUUUCCAAUGACAGUCAACGUCUUGCUGCAGUUCUAAGGUUCUUUAUAGAUUUCCUUCCUGGCUUCAAGAACACCUUAGACCAUAAUAGAUACCUCCGCAUACUGAAUGAGAUGAACACAUCCAUGACUGCUUGAGAAGUCUUUAUAGAAACUAAUAAAAAUUGUAUUUAGGGAAAAUUUUGGGCCGGAUUCUCAUUUGGUACCUUUUUCAAGUGUGGGGUUAUCUCGUUAAAGUUGAUCUUGAUAUCUACAAGAUAUGUGAUGGAUUCUAGCAAUAGAUUCAUGUUGUAUGUUAAGCUGCGUUUGCAAUUGAGAUUGAGAAAUAGAGACUAAGAGACAAAUACUAAAUUAAGUCUGCGUUUGGUGUAAAAUGUAUAGGAAUGAGUUAUGUUUAAGUAUCAUGAUUAGUUUAAGAUAAAUAUAGAAAUUGAGGGGUAGAUUUGAAAUUUGAAAAGUUAAAUAAGAGUAUUUUUGAAAAGAAAUAUUAAAAUUUCAAUUUCUGUCCCUAGAAAUUUUAGUUUCAGUCUCUGAUGACCAAGCACUAUACUCAGACUUAGUUUCAAUCCCAGGAAACAAAUGUAGUCUUAAUGUCUCAAAAGAGGACCAGUUUUGAUUUAAAUGAAGUACUCGCUUUUCUUUUA